GGCCAGUCCAAAGGUGGUGAGAUAGAUCCAUCAAUGGCUCACACUCAGUUAUGGAUUGAACUCAGUAUUCUAUUUCCUCAUCCCCCUUUUGUCACUAUUGCAUUUGACUGGUCUUAA
ensembl:misc_RNA Y_RNA Y RNA